rnacentral:rRNA from 1 species
CUAAGUUUGAUGGCGACCGGCGCACGGGUGAGUAACACGUAUCCAACCUGCCGAUGACUCGGGGAUAGCCUUUCGAAAGAAAGAUUAAUACCCGAUGGCAUAGUUCUUCCGCAUGGUGGAACUAUUAAAGAAUUUCGGUCAUCGAUGGGGAUGCGUUCCAUUAGGUUGUCGGCGGGGUAACGGCCCACCAAGCCUUCGAUGGAUAGGGGUUCUGAGAGGAAGGUCCCCCACAUUGGAACUGAGACACGGUCCAAACUCCUACGGGAGGCAGCAUG